rnacentral:lncRNA from 1 species
GGAGGUGACUCCCCCGUCACCCUUGCCAUCUUCUAUUGGCUAGAGUCCUGAAUGUCUUCUCCUAAGAGUCUUAAUCCUCUCCGGUAAAAUGAGUAUUCACUGGGCUUCCACCAUGUGCUAGACACCAAGAAUACCAAUCAUACAGCCCUCCCUCCAGGAACCUACGUGCUGAAGGAGGAGAUAAUGGAGAAACAGAACAGCUGCCCACCACAGCAUGAGCAGUGCCACCGGUGAACUUGGGAUCGUGCUGCAGGCUCCCUGGAGGGGUUUACAUCUGAGAUGAGUCUUCAAUGAGAAGGAAUCAGCCUGGUGGAGAAGGAGGGCACAUCCAGGAGAGGGACUGGCAUGAACAAAGGCAUGGAGCAGACAAAAGUAGUUUAACCUGGGCAAUGGGAGUGGGGGAUGGAGAAACAGAGGGUAUCUGCGUGAAUUCAUUGAGCUCUCCGUGAAAGGCUGAGAGGUCGGGGACUUCAACCUGGGUGCCAGGACGUGGAGCUUGGACUCUACCUGCAGGCAAUGGGAAGUCACUGAAGGGUAUUGAGCAGAGAUAUGCCAUGAUCAGAUGUGCAGAUUGAGGAAGAUCAGCUGGGGCUGUGAGGAAGGUGAACCCCAAAAUGUAGCCAUGUCUUGACUAUUGACUUCACUACAGGAUCAAAGCACAGGAAAUCAAGAAACCUGGGAUGGGAAGGGGAUGUAAAGUCAAAUCCAUCCUCCCAUGCAAUUCAGGAAAACCUCCUGUGUCAUCUUAGGUAGAGGGCGCACUCCUGCUUACAUUCUCCACAGUGUUGGGAAGCUCAUUCUAGGCAGACAGCUCCCCUCUUUCUCCUAAACCAAAAGCUGCCAGGAAGCAGGGGGUUAAUGAAGCCUCCUCCAGCAUCUCUUUAAUUGACUGCAAAAUCCUGCUUCCAGACCACUCACUUAGCACUUGUAAUUAAUUGGGGCUUCUUGCCUGAUCUGAGAGAUGAUGCGAUACCCCCUGAGGACAAUGUUUUCUCAGCUGGGAUUCUCCAGCUGGAGACAACGCUACACACCCAGCGUCUCCACAGGCACUAGUCUGGGUAUGAGUGCAGGCUCCAGCCCUUUCCCUCUGGGUGAGCUCAGGCAGGGCACUUCCCCGUCGGAGCACAGAGCCAGCACAUUGCACAGACUCAGUGGGUGGGUCAGAGCUGGUGUCACCAUCUCCGUGGGCUCCAGACCCAGGGCAUCCACUCUAUCCUGGGACAGGACCAGGGGUCUUCAGCUCUUGGCCACAUCAACUCCCUGCUGCUCUCAUUGUGAGAGGCACUUGCCAUGGCCCUGUCUGCAUGAGGGUCAAGACAGCCCAUGUCAAAGUACAUAAGACAGGGGAGAAAAAGGGAAGGCAAGGGAACCCCUACUCACCAACCACCUGCUGUAUGCCACACAUGGGGGCUGAUUACUUUAAAGCCUCCUGCUCUCCUCAUCCCAACAGGAAUCUGUGAAGUCAGUAUUCUCCCCACUUUACAUAUGAGAAAGCUGAGGCUCACAGGUAAAAGCGUGAAAUGGAAAUGGACACAGGCUUUGGACUCAGACAAACCUGGCCUUCAAUCUGAUUCCUUGUAUCUGAUCCUGGGCAAGUGAUCCAACAGCCCUGAACCUGGGUUUUAUCUAUUUUUAAAAAUUAUUAUGUAUUAUAAUACAUACAUAAUAAU